ACCCUUCACCGGGGGUGUCUGGCCUACCGCAGCAAUGCAGCAGGCCAGGCUGAGAAAAACCCCAUACCUGAUCUGGAUCAUGCCAGCGUAGGGAGCGUGAUGGGUUGUUGGC
rnacentral:ncRNA from 1 species